rnacentral:rRNA from 1 species
ACACUCCUGCGGGAGGCAGCAGUGGGGAAUAUUGCACAAUGGGCGCAAGCCUGAUGCAGCCAUGCCGCGUGUAUGAAGAAGGCCUUCGGGUUGUAAAGUACUUUCAGCGGGGAGGAAGGCGAUAAGGUUAAUAACCUUGUCGAUUGACGUUACCCGCAGAAGAAGCACCGGCUAACUCCGUGCCAGCAGCCGCGGUAAUACGGAGGGUGCAAGCGUUAAUCGGAAUUACUGGGCGUAAAGCGCACGCAGGCGGUCUGUCAAGUCGGAUGUGAAAUCCCCGGGCUCAACCUGGGAACUGCAUUCGAAACUGGCAGGCUAGAGUCUUGUAGAGGAGGGUAGAAUUCCAGGUGUAGCGGUGAAAUGCGUAGAGAUCUGGAGGAAUACCGGUGGCGAAGGCGGCCCCCUGGACAAAGACUGACGCUCAGGUGCGAAAGCGUGGGGAGCAAACAGGAUUAGAUACCCGGUAGUCCCAUGAU